GGUACCUAUUACACAAACACUACACCAGGCCUUUAAGUUUACAACAGUACAUGGACACAUGCCAUUAAACUCACAGUAAGUGUUACACAACACUUAAUUGAUUUUAUGAAGACGCAAAUGCACCGAUCGCGAACGUACCCAACCAGAUAGCUGUCCCAGGACGGGAGCGCGCUUCCCUAGAAGCACCAGGAAGAGAGCCAGCCGAUAUAGCGAAAGGAGCUGACCAUGGCCCUGCAUUCCAAAUAGGAAGACAGAGAUACAGCAAGCUGGAAAAAGCCACCAUUCCACCUUCUCCCUGGACUCCCACACAGAGCUGCCUGCUUCAGAGGGGGCUGGAGUCCCUCCACCCACUGUAAUGCAACACCAUCAACAAGCUCUGUUACACUCAAACUCAUCUGCGUUAUAUUCUGUUACAUUUUUAUUUUCAGUGACUGCUGCAAAAAGUUAUUUUUGGUUCACAUAAUUGAGAUUUGAGUUCAUGAUGUGAUUUAAGAUCAUUAUGUAGUUUAUGGGUAUGUUACUCAUUCAUAAGCAUACUGUAUGUUAAAUUAAUCCAGAUUAGAAAAUGUAUGUUUAUGUUUUUCCAGAUGGUUAUUAAAUACUUAAAAUCAAUAAAAUGUUUUUAAAGGAGUACUUUAGUAUACAAAAUAUAAAGCAUUAAGUAUAAACUUGUGUACUGCAUUAUAUUAACUGUUUGAAAGAGUGUAGAAGCUUUUCAACAUAUAUUAAAAUUGUUACCUGGACAAUACAU